rnacentral:rRNA from 1 species
UACAGAGGUCUCAAGCGUUGUUCGGAUUCAUUGGGCGUAAAGGGUGCGUAGGUGGCGCCGUAAGUCAGGUGUGAAAUUUCGGAGCUUAACUCCGAAACUGCAUUUGAUACUGCGGUGCUUGAGGACUGGAGAGGAGACUGGAAUUCACGGUGUAGCAGUGAAAUGCGUAGAUAUCGUGAGGAAGACCGUGGCGAAGGCGGGUCUCUGGACAGUUCCUGACACUGAGGCACGAAGGCCCAGGGG